AACGAACGCUGGCGGCAGGCUUAACACAUGCAAGUCGAGCGCCCCGCAAGGGGAGCGGCAGACGGGUGGGUAACGCGUGGGAAUCUACCCAUCUCUACGGAAUAACGCAUGGAAACGUGUGCUAAUACCGUAUACGUCCUUCGGGAGAAAGAUUUAUCGGAGAUGGAUGAGCCCGCGUUGGAUUAGCUAGUUGGUGGGGUAAAGGCCUACCAAGGUGACGAUCCAUAGCUGGUCUGAGAGGAUGAUCAGCCACACUGGGACUGAGACAGGGCCCAGACUCCGUCGGGAGGCAGCAGUGGGGAAUAUUGGACAAUGGGCGCAAGCCUGAUCCAGCCAUGCCGCGUGAGUGAUGAAGGCCCUAGGGUUGUAAAGCUCUUUCACCGGUGAAGAUAAUGACGGUAACCGGAGAAGAAGCCCCGGCUAACUUCGUGCCAGCCGCCGCCGUAAUAC
rnacentral:rRNA from 1 species